rnacentral:lncRNA from 1 species
CCCCCACCUGCCGAUGACAAGACUACCCCAGAGGAGCCUCAAGAGUCACCUCCUAGACCUCCCUUUUACUCCUGCUCUCCACAUCCUAACUAUCCUCUAAAGCUUCGCCUGUCUCGCAUAACCGCCCAUACUCCACCAUGACUCCCACUCUUCUAGGUGGUAUUUUCACAGUCAUCACCCUUUUCCAGGGGACAUCAUCGUCCUCCUCUUAAAGCAUUCCAAACAGCAGUAGUUAGACUCCAUACAGGAUCCAUAUGAGCCUAAUGUGAGGAGUCCACCACAGUAUUCAUGGCUAUGACUACUUACUGAAACUGUAACCUUCUUAAAUCUAACCUUCCCCGCCAUCACACCAACUGAUUGCUACUUAUGCGCCUCUCUGACUCGACCUUUGCUUGCAGCGGUUCCCUUGAACUUCUCGGCUUCUGACCUCUCAAAUUUCUCCACUCCAUCUGCCCGCCAUUCUCUCAAAACCCUUUCACCCAAUGCUCCAUUAUGAGAGCCCGAGGAGUCUAACCAUACUGUGAUUCCCCGGUGCUGCCUUCUGGGCUUGGGUGUCUCCCAGUCAAAGUUUUGCCACUCUAACAUCACCUUUAACUUCACCCUCUAUGCACCACCUGGCUCAUUCUUCUGGUGUAAUGGUUCUCUCAUCACUAUCUUAUUCACCAACACCUCCACCCCAUGUAUACUGGUGACACAUGUCCCACAGUUGACUCUCUAUACCCCAGCUGAAGUGCA